rnacentral:rRNA from 1 species
GAUGAACGCUGGCGGCGUGCCUAAUACAUGCAAGUCGAGCGAACGGACGAGAAGCUUGCUUCUCUGAUGUUAGCGGCGGACGGGUGAGUAACACGUGGAUAACCUACCUAUAAGACUGGGAUAACUUCGGGAAACCGUAGCUAAUACCGGAUAAUAUUUUGAACCGCAUGGUUCAAAAGUGAAAGACGGUCUUGCUGUCACUUAUAGAUGGAUCCGCGCUGCAUUAGCUAGUUGGUAAGGUAACGGCUUACCAAGGCAACGAUGCAUAGCCGACCUGAGAGGGUGAUCGGCCACACUGGAACUGAGACACGGUCCAGACUCCUACGGGAGGCAGCAGUAGGGAAUCUUCCGCAAUGGGCGAAAGCCUGACGGAGCAACGCCGCGUGAGUGAUGAAGGUCUUCGGAUCGUAAAACUCUGUUAUUAGGGAAGAACAUAUGUGUAAGUAACUGUGCACAUCUUGACGGUACCUAAUCAAAAAGCCACGGCUAACUACGUG